rnacentral:rRNA from 1 species
CCCUAACCGUGUAAAGGUAGCAUAAUCAUUUGCCUUUUAAUUGAAGGCUUGUAUGAAUGGUUUGACGAGGGCUAAGCUGUCUCUUUUGAAAUAUUUAGAAAUUAACUUUUAGGUGAAGAGGCCUAGAUUUGGCUGAGGGACAAGAAGACCCUGUUGAGCUUUAGUUUUAUACUGAAUGGGUUAUUAUGAUAUUUGUAAUAAGCGUGGACCUAGGUGUAAUGGGAUUUCAGUAUGAGUCUUUAGUUGGGGCGACUGAGGAACAGUUAGAGCUUCCUUUGGUUUUGAAGGGUGAGUGUGUGCCCAAAAUGGUAUAUUCUUGCAGGUUGUUUUGAUCCAGUAAGAUACUGAUUAAAGGAAAAAGUUACCACAGGGAUAACAGCGUAAUCUUUCUGGAGAGAUCUUAUCGAAAGGAGGGUUUGCGACCUCGAUGUUGGACUAA